CUUUGCUAUGAGCCAAUAAUGAGCCACUCUUUGCACAUACAACAUUGGCAACUGAAUCAUAGCGAAGAAUUAUGCCAGCAGAAGUCCCAUCUAGUAUAACAUUGGACCACAGAGAAGACUGAAUAGGAGCCGCUGGAAAAAAAAUAUCAUAUUGCAAGCUGUUGGGGUCAGCAAUGCUCUACUGAAAGAAGAUGCAUUUGCACAGAGUUCAGAGGUUUCUGAG
rnacentral:lncRNA from 11 species